AUUUNACGCCCUCAUCUCAUCGCCGAAACCCUAAUUCUCUCUCCCUCUUUCCACUUAUUCGUUCGGAAGAUCCCGAAUCGCGAACUCGGAGGUGCCGAUUACCCCGUAGCCGCUCAAUUCGUUGUUGGAAGGUUUGAAGAUUCUCUUUUAGCCGGAGCAUCUAAUGGCGAAGAUCAAACCUCAGGCUUUGUUAAUCCAGAGCAAAAAGAAGAAGGGUCCAAGUCGAAUUGGUCUUAUGACUAUCAUCACUUGGAACCUUAUCAUUAUCUUAAUUGUUUUGUCUUUGUAUGCCACUUACAGACAUUGGCAUCAUAGGUCAAGCAAUGGACAAGGGAUCAUUUUGCCUAAUUCUGAGCAUUCAGAGUCAUCUGGAGAAUCAAGGAAGUUCAAUAUACCUAGCUAUGCUGUUUUGGUCACGACCAAAGGUUCAAUAACUACAGAACUUUUCAAGGAUGCUUCUUCUGAUGUUAUGGACAAGUUUGUUGAGCUAUGCCAGAAAGGACAUUUCAAAAAUUCGCUGUUCCAUCAUGUCAUAAAAAACUUUGUAAUUCAAGGAGGUGAUUCUCAGAAACACGAAGCUGUGGAAGAUUGGAUAUCAAAAGGAAAAGCGCAUGGUCAACUCUCUGUCAGCCCAAAGCAUGAGGCUUUCAUGCUAGGAACCACGAAGGCUAGUCGGGACAGUAAAGGAUUUGAUCUCUUUAUUACUACUGCACCAAUUCCUGACUUGAAUGACAAGCUUAUUGUGUUUGGGCGGGUUAUAAAAGGGGAGGAUAUCGUCCAGAAAAAUUGAUUCAGUCCGCCCAUCAGCCCUCCAUUCAAUCUCUUUUUUCGAAACCAACCAUCCAAUUUUAAACAAAGGACCCUGAUUCUCCAGACAGUAUAUUAGCUGAGAUGGAGAGCUGACAGGUGGGACAAUGCACUGAUGUACGGAUGCAUUGGCUAUAGUUUCUCCGAUAAAAGGGAAGAGAAAAGAGAUUGAAGAAGUAGACACAGAUGAACAUUACCAGCCGAAGUCUGUUGUCGGUAUUGUCGACAUUACACUGAAGCAGGAUCUUUGAGUUUUGUGUCCUUAACCGUGCGAAAUAUAAAUCGCCUCAUUUCUCCGGCUAAAGUUUACCCUGCUGCUUUUUGGUGGCAUUAUGCUUUACAAUGCUUUGUCUCCAUUCUACGGGAUCUUGGGGCACUUCUUGUGUAAAGAAGCUGCUUUGAGUGGUUUGGCGUGUGCAGUGAUCAUUACUCCAUAUAUAACUCUAAAAGUUUCUUGUAAAAUGAUGUCUUGUAAAAUGAUGUCAUUUUUUGCUACUAGCAAUUAGAUGUAUUAUAAAAUUUCUAUUAUCGUGUCUUGCCGUCUGGCUUUUUCUCUCACACAGAGGCUCUAAUUGGAUGUAUGAAUAUCUUGUUCAGAAUAUUUCUUUGAUAUAAUUUUCUUUCCUCACUAUGCAUA